CAGCUCCCCAGCCCGGUCCCCCAGGUCAGGCAUAAAUCUCUUCAAUGGGAUUAGAUUGUUUAAGGGGCUAUGGGCUGUGGGAAGACCUUUGUCUGCUGUAUUCAUCGUCUCUGCUGCGAGUCUCAACAUUUCCACAAUGGGGUUAAAACUCUAGUGAUGCUGGCAACCAGUGUCUAAGAAAGGGGCAAGAAAGGCUCUGAGAAGAAACACCGGCCUGACCACAGUCUACUCUUUUAACAAGGUUACAAUCCUAAACUGAGGCUGUUGCUACUAAACCAAGUUACCCACAGAGGCCAGAAGACGGCAUCAGAGCCUUCAAAGCUGGAGUAGUCAUGGUGAUUUGAGCCACCUAACACGGAUCCUGGGAACCAAGCUCCAAUCUUCUGGAAGGGCAGCAAAUGCUCUUCACUGUGAAGCCUUCUCUCCAGCCUCCACAUUUUCCAAAAAUUUAUUACCAAAAAUAUUUUUUGUUUUAACAAGGGGAAGAAAAAAAACAGUCACUAAAAGGGGGCUUGAAUAAUAAAACUUUCAUAUGCUUCAAGACCUAA